rnacentral:rRNA from 1 species
UACGGAGGAUGCAAGCGUUAUCCGGAAUGAUUGGGCGUAAAGCGUCCGCAGGUGGCUGUGUAAGUCUGCUGUCAAAGAGCGAAGCUCAACUUCGUAAAGGCAGUGGAAACUACACGGCUAGAGUGCGUUCGGGGCAGAGGGAAUUCCUGGUGUAGCGGUGAAAUGCGUAGAGAUCAGGAAGAACACCGGUGGCGAAGGCGCUCUGCUAGGCCGCAACUGACACUGAGGGACGAAAGCUAGGGGAGCAAAUGGG